CCGUGAAUCCGGGUCGGGGACAGUGCAUGGUAGGCAGUUUGACUGGGGCGGUCUCCUCCCAAAGCGUAACGGAGGAGCACAAAGGUGGGCUAAGCAUGGUCGGACAUCAUGCGGUUAGUGUAAUGGCACAAGCCCGCUUAACUGCGAGACAGACACGUCGAGCAGGUACGAAAGUAGGUCAUAGUGAUCCGGUGGUUCUGAAUGGAAGGGCCAUCGCUCAACGGAUAAAAGGUACUCCGGGGAUAACAGGCUGAUACCGCCCAAGAGUUCAUAUCGACGGCGGUGUUUGGCACCUCGAUGUCGGCUCAUCUCAUCCUGGGGCUGGAGCAGGUCCCAAGGGUAUGGCUGUUCGCCAUUUAAAGUGGUACGCGAGCUGGGUUUAGAACGUCGUGAGACAGUUCGGUCCCUAUCUGGUGUGGGCGUUGGAUGAUUGAUGGGAGCUGCUCCUAGUACGAGAGGACCGGAGUGGACGAACCGCUGGUGUUCGGGUUGUGAUGCCAAUCGCAUUGCCCGGUAGCUACGUUCGGAACGGAUAACCGCUGAAAGCAUCUAAGCGGGAAGCCGGCCCAGAGAUGAGUCAUCCCUGACAGUUUAACUGUCCUGAAGGGUUGUUUUAGACUAAGACGUUGAUAGGCAGGGUGUGGAAGCGUUGUAAGGCGUUAAGCUAACCUGUACUAAUUGCCCGCGAGGCUUAAU
rnacentral:rRNA from 14 species